rnacentral:misc_RNA from 1 species
GAUGAAGAACGUAGCGAAAUGCGAUAAGUAAUGUGAAUUGUAGAAUUCAGUGAAUCAUCGAAUCUUUGAACGCACAUUGCGCCCGCCAGUAUUCUGGCGGGCAUGCCUGUCUGAGCGUCAUUUCAACCCUCAUGCCCCUAGGGCGUGGUGUUGGGGAUCGGCCAAAGCCCGCGAGGGACGGCCGGCCCCUAAAUCUAGUGGCGGACCCGUCGUGGCCUCCUCUGCGAAGUAGUGAUAUUCCGCAUCGGAGAGCGACGAGCCCCUGCCGUUAAACCCCCAACUUUCCAAGGUUGACCUCAGAUCAGGUAGGAAUACCCGCUGAACUUAAGCAUAUCAAUAAGCGGAGGA